rnacentral:rRNA from 1 species
CGAGUAGGCGGAUCUGCAAGUCAGAUGUGAAAUCCCGGAGCUCAACUCCGGAACUGCAUUUGAAACUGUAGACCUUGAGUGAUGGAGAGGCAGGCGGAAUUCCCGGUGUAGCGGUGGAAUGCGUAGAUAUCGGGAGGAACACCAGUGGCGAAGGCGGCCUGCUGGACAUUAACUGACGCUGAGGAGCGAAAGCGUGGGGAGCAAACA